CGCCGAGGCACCGAGGCACUCAGAGGAGGUGAGAGAGCGGCGGCAGACAACAGGGGACCCCGGGCCGGCGGCCCAGAGCCGAGCCAAGCGUGCCCGCGUGUGUCCCUGCGUGUCCGCGAGGAUGCGUGUUCGCGGGUGUGUGCUGCGUUCACAGGUGUUUCUGCGGCAGGGUGACGCGCAGCCGGAGUGGAAGCAGUUUUGGCGGGCGAGCAGCGCCUUGCAGGAAACUGACUCAUCACUACUCCCUCCAGCGGUCCGAGGCUCUGCCCACGCACCUCCCACUCCGCGCGUGAUUUCCUGGAGGCCGGCGCCCCCUCCCGGCCCUGGCGGGAAUAGCACACAGGCUUUCCCGCGGAGUGGGGCUGGCCGGCGCGAA
rnacentral:lncRNA from 1 species